AAUCCAUGGUUGGGACAUUUCUUUAGUAAGGCCUUGUAUCUUUCCCAAGCUUCACAGAAGUGUUCAUUCAUACCUUGAGAAAAGGUUGCAAUUGUUGCCUUAACACU
rfam:Vigna angularis cultivar Jingnong 6 scaffold447_34, whole genome shotgun sequence.